CUGCAGUCAAUUAAGCCAACUCAGCACCUCCCUGCUGGGGGCUCAGUGUGCAGUGACUUCAAAAAGCAGAUUCCUUGGUCUCAAGGAAUGGAUGCAGCUCAUUCCUUUUAUGUGUAGGUCUAAGGGAUCUUGGAGAUCUCA